AAGAUGGUCAGGUCUUCAGUAACAUGGUGUGAAGGCAGACAAGGGUCAAAGAACUGCUAGCCUGACUCAAGUCUGGGUGGAUGAUGUAAGAGUUUAAUAGCAUAGAAUAUUCAGGAUAAUUUCUGAGGAACCCACAGAAGCUACAGUGUCCAGGGCAUCUUAGCAACUUAAGGUCAUUUCAUAAUUAAAAAAAUAAUUCAUAUUACAGGGUUCACAUAUGCUGUUUCUUCCAUAAUUAAAGAAGGAACAUAGGAACUGAGACUACACUGGUAUUCCUGUGCCCUUCUGUCCCUCCCAGUAGCCUGUGAGAGCCUUGAGGCCAGGACAUGUCACCUGAGUCACCUUUGUGUAAGUAUUACUUCCUUCUCCCCCAUCUUUCAUGCCCAAUGAUGGAGAGGAAGUUCUUGGUACUUCAUUUUAUCAAGUAUUCAACUCCUGCCAUGUCAGUGAAGGGGAAAAUAGCAACUAUUGGGGCCAGAAAAGCCCCUGUACCCUGCCUGUCUCCUAGGGCCAGGGCAGGGCUAAACUGUGUUGGAAAUGACAGAAAACAAGUUAGUCCAAUCUUCUGUUGCAGAAAGUCCAAGAAACACUUGAAAUUCUAGCCUUCUCUUCUCUCCAGGGGAAGGACCCCUAUCGUGUCUCAUUUCUUCAUUAACACUUCCCCUCCCGCCUCCAGGAAAGCUACAACUCUAUUCCCACCAAAACGAGUACAAAGUGAAUCUGGUUCCUUGAUGAGAACAGAGGUGCUACUCCAGCUGUGGUCGUCACCUUGCUGAAUUUUGCAGUCCUAGCUGUAGGGGCAGCAGUAAUACAGUAAUCACCAGCCUAACCCAUCAGCCCUCUCGAGUUAUGUGUUCUGGAAAAAUUAGCGCUUCUGUUCCCUCUUCUAUGGCAUGCAGGUGAUGGCAAUGUUCAACUGAAUAAAACACAUACAGUGAUUGUAUGGCGACAGGGCUGUGGUGAGGGACGAGGGACAUAAUGCAGGUGAAAACAUUCAGCAUAGCACUGUCCCCAUGCCAAGCACUCGAUACGAGAAUAGUCAUAGUGACGCAUGAUCUUCAUCACAGGAAGAUAGAUAUUCGGGAAAGAUUCCCUGGGAAUAAGCUGGAGAGCAGUUACUGGCUUGGAGGUGAGUUGGAGCCGGGGGCAGGGGCAGUGCUGACCGGAAGGGCUGACAGGUCCAGGGAGACCUGGCUGGAGGGCAAGUGGCCCUGAGGGGGAGUUUGGGUCCCAGCUCUCACAUUUUCCCUCAUGCUGUUUUGUUACCUUAAAAUCAUUGCAUUGCUGUGAGGCAUCAGAAUAAAACCUUAAAGUUUUCUCAAAAGGGAAAACGUGUUUAUAUAUCGGUUUGCUCUUUGAUCAUGAC